UCUACCAUAGGACAAUAGCACUCCACUGGUCUUAGGCACCACCAUUCUUGGCGCAAAUCCAAGUGGUAGAA
rnacentral:tRNA from 1 species